rnacentral:rRNA from 1 species
GACGAACCGUACGAACGUUAUUCGGAAUUACUGGGCUUAAAGGGUGCGUAGGCGGCGCAGUAAGUUGGGUGUGAAAUCCCUCGGCUUAACCGAGGAAUUGCGCCCAAAACUACUGUGCUCGAGGGAGGUAGAGGUGAGCGGAACUUAGGGUGGAGCGGUGAAAUGCGUUGAUAUCCUAAGGAACACCGGUGGCGAAAGCGGCUCACUGGACCUCUUCUGACGCUGAGGCACGAAAGCGUGGGGAGCAAACAGG